GAGCAAUCUGCCUUUCAGAGGGGGAUACCGAUUGGAAACGAUCGUUAAUACCGCAUAAUAUAAAUUGAACCGCAUGAUUUGAUUAUCAAAGAUUUAUCGCUGAAAGAUGAGCUCGCGUCUGAUUAGCUAGUUGGUAAGGUAACGGCUUACCAAGGCGACGAUCAGUAGCCGGACUGAGAGGUUGAACGGCCACAUUGGGACUGAGACACGGCCCAGACUCCUACGGGAGGCAGCAUG
rnacentral:rRNA from 1 species